CUGGCUACAGUUUGCAACCGCUGGGCGAAGGUGUUCGUGCUGGACUUCCCUCCACGCUUGAACAUCGAGCCUGGCCUGCAGGAGCUGUUCCGCCAGGAGUUCCGCCGUGUCGCAGCACGCAUGGGUCUCCCAUACGUGUCUGUGGCAGAGCACCUCCCUCUGGACCGUUUGGAGCUGUGGA